rnacentral:lncRNA from 1 species
UAGAAUGCUAAGGAUUUAACUGCUGGUGGGAGCCAGAGAAUGCUAAGGAGUUAACUGCUGGGGGGAGGGAGAAGCCUUAGAAUGAUAAUCAAAAAAAGUAGGAGAGAAAUUUCCAGGAACAAAAAUUUUCAUCCUUUGAAAGAGAAAAAAGUUAGGUAGAAGAGUGAGAGAGAAAGAAGGACACAGACAAUUUCACCCUUCUUUCUCCAGAGUGCUCACAGGAAUAUUCUGAAAUACCUGAGAAGUAAAAGCUGGACUAUUUGUCUCAAGCAAAGAGCUUAGGCAGACUAUUAGCAAGUACCUUGAUGCCUCCAGAGCCGCUUCAGUUCUUCAGGGAAAAAUUUUUACCCAGUUAGUUAAAGUGUUAAACAAAACCAAAAGCAGUUUGAAACCCCCUGCAAGGGGGUGUUUGUGUAGAAUCUAUUUGUCUUCCCCUGGGUAUGGGAUCCCUUCUCUGAACUGGCUUCAGGAGAGAGGGGAGUAGCCUCAAAGUCGGUUCACUGAGAUCAGUGAGGAAAAAGAAGACUGACUCCCAUCAGACAAAACACAGCAUCCUCAAGAAAGUUGAAAUCACAGGAGUCUCUCUUUGCAUGGAAAAAGAAUGUGCUCAAAGAGAAGCCAACCCAGAACUUGAGAAGAUCAGUGAUGGGGAGUUCUUAAACUCAACAAAUAGGGUCUUAAAACUGAUCAGAGACCAACUAUCCUGGGAAUGGAUUCUUCCAGCUUUGGGAUUUGCUCAUGAGAAAAAUAUGUGAAAGAAAAUAUUUAGAGAUGGGGCUAUAAAGUGGGAGGGAAGAAAGAAAGCAAGGAUAAAAGAAGACAGGGAAAGAAGGAAGGAAGGAAGGAAGAAGGAAGGAAGGAAGGAAGAAAGAAAGGAAGAAACAAGAAAGAAAGGAAGGAAAAAAGGAAGGAAGGAAAAUAGGGAAGAAGGGAGGGAGGGAAGAAAAGAGGGAAGGAGGUAGGGAGGAAAGGAGGAAGUAGGGAGGAAAAAGGAAAUACAUUCUUUGUGAAGGAACAGCUUGAAGUCUUUGAAAGUACUAUGCAAUUUUUUUCAAAUGCAAUCCCACCCUCCCUCUGCCUCCUCUUCAAGUCUGAGUCUGGAUCACUGUCCUUCUACUAAAUCUGUCCAAGUCUUAAUGUGAUAACUCAGUAGGUUCCUGAUGUAGCUAUUUUUCAUAGUCAUAGGUAUUUUUCAUCCUUUUGUAUUUUUUCCAAUAAAUAUUCUUAGUUCAAUCUCUUUUGAAUGCCCAUAGAGGCAUCUCUGUAGAGGUCUGAGGAACAAUGAAAGUCACAAAUAAGAGUUCAUGGAGAACUUCAUUCAAUAGAGAAAUAUCUCCUCUAUUUAGACUUUGCACAGGAUAUACCAUAAACAUUUGUGAUAAUCUACACCUUUCUCUUUUAUGUGAUGCUGGAUAUUGAUCAUCAAGAUUAUUGAAGAAAGGUCUCCCUGUUGUUGUACCCUUUGAAGAAUUUUGUAAGAUAUUAAAAUGUUUAUUGGAAAUACUUUGUUGAAGGACUGCCUUUAAAGUUAUGUCUUGCUCUAUUGAGGCAAGUUAUUUUUAUAAUAAUCAACAAACAUUAACUAUAAAGGGAUAUUAUAUUCUUUGAAUUCUAAAGUCAUUUUUUUCCUGUGAAGAAGUGGACAGCUAAUAGACCAAGUUAUAAUGAGGACAGAAUGACCCAACUUUUGUCCCAGUUUAUAUUCAAGGGAAGGGGUAAUAAUCUCAGUCUCUUUGUUCUUGGGAACCAUCCUUGAAAUAUCCUGAAACCUCAGUCCUCUCCUCCCACAUGAUCCCUAGAUGAAGAGAUAUCUCUUUUCAUAUCUCUGAACUUGGGUAGUGAUCAUUUGAGUGGAAAAGAGGGAAUGGAUGCAAAAAUUCAGUGGAGGUAGGAUGGACAACAUAUGAGAACUGAUUAGUUGUAUAUUAUAAAGGAGAGGGACAAAUCCAUGGUGACUCUCUUAAUUGCAAGCCUAAGAAGAGGCUCAGGUUUAGUAGAGAAGAUAAUGAAUUCCAUUUUUAUAUCUGUUGAAUUUUAGACAUUGUAAAAAUACCCAAGUAAAGAGCCUGGAGAUAGGGAAAAGGAGGAGAUGGGAAAAAAAAAAAAUAACAUGAGCAGUUAAUUCAAAAGUAUGGAAGUCUGGGCCUGUGGAUAACUUCAAUAAUCUCCUAAGAUUUUAUUGGGUUAUAUCAGAACCUAGUUCAUCAUGAUGACCUUGUACCCUCAGGAAAAAAAAAAUGUUAUGUUACCAUUUUCCUCUAAAGUGUGACUUGUUCUGGUAGGAAAAUGAUGCUGGAUUCUUGAAGGAUUCAUGUUAGCUCUCACCAAUUAUUAUUGGCCCAGCAAUGGACUCUGUUUGACUCCUGAGGUCCAGCAUUGCUAAAUUCAGAAAGGCUUAUCAGUAGAAGGCUUAUUGCUAGAGAAUUCUUUUUUUUUUAAUCUAUAGUAAGUCAUAAUGAUUAUCUGCAGUGAUACAGAUUCAAUACAAGGCAACAGCACUUGUUAAGCAGUUACUAUGUACUAGGCACUCUGCUAAGGACUGGAGAUAAAGUAUAAGCCUUCCUCAAGAAGGAUCCCUAAUAGGGGGACAUUAUACAAAAGGAAGAUAGUUAGUUGGGGCUAAGGGGAGGGGAGGGUGAAGGAACCUGGCAUGGUGUCAAAAUCUAAAAGUCAUAAAUACAGCCAGAAAGGAAAGCCCCAGGAGAAACUCAUCAAAGUGAGAACUUACCAGCAUAUCAAAAGGGUGUUCCAGGGUAAAAUUGCUGAUGAGGCAUGAUGGGACAAUGGAAAGAAUCAAUACAAAGUUAGCAAUUUAAAAAUUUUUAAGGUUUACAAAGCAUAAUGGCAUGACCCUCAUUUGAUCCUCACAAUAAUUGUGGGAGGUAGUUGCUAUUACUAUUCCCAUUGUAUAGAUAAAGAAAUUGAGGCAGAGAAGCAAAUGAUUUGCUCAGGAUCACAAGCUUAUAAGUAUCUGAGGCAAGAUUCAGAUGCAGUUCUUUUUGGCUCCAAAUUCAGAGCCUUAUCUACUACCAUCAGUAUAUAGUACAUUUUAGGAAGAUUUAAAGUUAGGUCACCAAAUAUUUAUUAAACACGUCUUAUGUGCUACAAAAUAGUUAAAAUAAAAGUUUGGCACUUAAAAAAUUUUUUAUAUAUUUGGAAAACAAUUUGUUUCAUUUUAUUCCUUUACAAUGCUGGAUAAUCCCAUUUAUACUUUAUGUGUGUGUGUGUGUGUGUGUGUGUGUGUGUGUCUGUGUAGUCCCUAUUUAAUCAACAAUUUUUCCCAAUUAUGACAAAAAAUGAAAUAGGAUUAUUUUAAAUUCAUAGUCUAAUUGUUAGAGUGGAAAACUCAUAUAAAGUAAGAUUUACAAAUGAGAUAUUUUACAUUUUCUUCUACUUUUCACAUUUUUUUUUGUUUUACUUGACUGAUACUUGAUGUCUCAUUGAAUAAUUUACUUCCAUUUGUUCAAUUAUAAUUUCUAAUGAAUUGUUUUAUUUGGUUAGCUUUUUUACCUCCUUUUGCAUUUGAUCAAUUGAACUUUUAAAUGAGCUAUUUUGUUGACUGAAUUUUUCCAUUUCACCAAUUCUAUUUUUUAGGGAAUUGCUCUCUUUUUCCAUUUCAACAAUUCUGUUUUUCAAGUUGUUUUUAAUUUUUAUUUCACCACAUCUAUUUUUUUUAAUUAUAGCUUUUUAUUGACAGAACAUAUGCAUGGGUAAUUUUUACAACAUUGUUCCUUACACUCAAUUCUGUUCCAACUUUUCCCUUCCCUUCCUUCACCCUCUCCCCUAGAUGGCAAGCAAUCUCAUACAUGUUAAAUAUGUUAAAGUAUAUCUUAGAUACAAUAUAACCACAUCUAUUUUUUAAGGAAUUAUUUUUUUUAGACAAUUUCUGCUUCCUUUUCUGAAGCUCUCAUUUUCUUUCUCCACUUUUAUCCUAACUCUCUUUUAAGAUCUUUUUUGAAUUCUUCCAAGAGAGUCUUUUGAAUGGAGGACUAACUCAUAUCACCCUUUGAAGCUUUAUCUGGACAUUUUGCCUUUAGUUUCCUCAGAGUUUGAGGUCUUUCUUAUCUCCAUAAUAGCUAUCUAUGGUCAUAACUCUUUUUGCUUGUUUGCUUAUUUUUAAAGGUUGAGAUCUGCUCCUAGGGUAAAGGAAAGAUUGUCCCAAGAUUCCUCUUCAGGACAACGGGUUUUAUGCUGCCCUGGGGGUCAUGGUGCUGUUUUCCCCCAGAGCUGGGUUGGCAUGGCCAAGUCCCACCUAUUAUGCUAGGGUUCAGGGGCUCACUAUUUGCCUUUUGUAGUUGUGUUAGAGGUCUCACAGCUAAUCUGCUGAUCCACUGGCUUUUGAACUAGGACAAAGUAGCCAAAGUUGCUUUAUUUUGGCUAAGAACUUCCCAUUAGAUUCCCAAGUGGGUCCUCUCUGCUCUGGGCCUCCCUGCACUGCACCUGUGCUGGGCCACAUCCCUCCUGCCCAAUUGAGACUUUUCCUGAAGUCCUUCCCAAGAUAUCUUCUGCUAGAAAUUUGUUACACUCCAAAUAUUUGUGGGUUCUGUCAUUUCAAAAUCCAUUCAGAAGAUCUGAUGUUAAUUCUGAGGGAAGCCAGGAAGAGAUCAGGCAAAGUCCUGUAUAUUCUCUGCUACCUUAGCUCUGUCCGUCCUAGAGUAAGAUUUAAAAGAGAAAAAAAGUUUUCUUUUUUUCCAUUUAAAUUGAGAAAGUACAUGGUAUAAAAGAGCUCUGAUAAAACUGAUUUGGUAAAAUCAGUAACCUUGUGUUCAAAUUCUGCUUUUGAUAAUUGCUAAUUAUAAAAACUUGGGCAAGGGAUUUAACUUCCCCGAGAUUGUUUCCUCAUCUUUAAAAUUAGUAGUUGAAUUAAAUGAACUCUGAGGUCCCUUCCAAUUCUAGAUCUCAAAUCUUUUGAUCUCUUAGACCAUUCACAUGGACCUAUUAGUUUUAGCAAACUCAAAGAUCACUUAUCUGCCCUUCCACUAUCUAGCAAAUUACAUUAUACACAAUAAAAACAUAAUUAAUAUUUCUUGAAUGAAUAAGUGAAGAAAAACCACAUUUGCAUAGAAUUCCCAGUAGUGUACCCCAAAAUUCAGAUGAGGAAGAACACUAAGAAAAAAACAAGAGAGACACAAACACAAAACUUAGGAAGAAAUAAUUUCAGAGUUUAGAGAGAAGAUAAUGAGUAUUCCACAGCUUCUAGAUGGAAAGUCAGUCCAGGAAACAACUCUGAAGAAUAAAAUUCAAAUGACAAUAUAAACAAUUUUGAUUAGGAGAAAACAGCAUUGUCUCUAAGGAGAUCAAUAUGGAGGCACAAUGUUGACCAACUGAGAUUUUUAAAGACAAAAGUGUGAGCAAAAUCAUAGAGGAUAAGGAGAAAAAGAAUGACCCUCUUCUGUAAAAAGAACAAAUAUCCAAAAUUCUCAAGUUCACAAUGGCUGAGACUAUAGAUAAAUGCUAAAGACAGUCAAAAGGGCUUUAAAAAAACUACAUUGGGGACAAGAAGGUCAAAGAAGACCUAGCUCCUCUACCUUUCCAACCUUCAUAUAUAUUGCUCUCCUCCUAAUAUCAUAUAUUACAAUCAAAUUGACUUAUCUUUUUCAGCAUAUGAUGUUCCAUCUCCUACCUCCAAGAUUUUGUCCUGACUGCCUUUCCUUCCUUCAUGAUUCUGGUCAAAGGCCACUUGUAAAAUUCUUUUAGCAAAAAUCUAUCUACUCUCUAGGUAUCUUUUAUUUGCCUGUUUCAGCAUCUUUCUCUUUAAAAUAUAAGCUCCUUGAAGACAGGGACAAUUUUUUUGGUAACCCCAGAGCUUAAUAGUGCCUGAUAUAAGGUAAUGACUUGAGAAAUGCUUCUUUGUUAAAAGAGCAUUUAGCUGUCUUCAAGGAGUUCAACCCAUUAGACUAUUAUGCAACAGAGUUUUUAAAGCAUGGACAGAAAUGAUUACUGAGAACAUCAAGAUUAUGUGAUGAUCAAUUGUGCUGCACUCGGCUUUUCUUAGCAAUGCAGUGAUUCAAGACAAUUCCAAUAGACUUGGGAUGGAAACUGCCAUCCACAUCCAGAGAGAAUAUGGAAAUUGAAUGUGGAUUGAAGCAUACUACUUUUACCUUUUUUGUUUGUUUCUUUGCUAGCUUGCUUUUUGUUUCUCAUGUUUUUUCCCCCUUUUGGUCUGAUUUUUUUUUUACAACAUGACAAAUAUGGAAAUAUGUUUAAAAGGAUUGGACAUGUAUAAUCUACAUCAGAUUGCUUGCUGUCUUGGGGAGUGGGAGAUAAGGGAAUAAGGGAAAAAUUUUAGAACACUAAAGUCUUGCAAAAAUGAAUGUUGAAAACUAUCUAUUUGAAAAAAUAAAAUACUAUUGAGAACAAAAAGGAAAUGAUUACUGAGGAACUGUCCAGGUACCCUCACCCUGGGGAAGGUGUUUCCCUCUCCAGAUCAGAAAGGUUACAGAGUGGAUAGCGAUUAGCUCCUUCAUGGUUCUUCAAGGAAGGAGCCCAAGGCACCUAUCUCAUCACUUCCCAUUUGUCUUUCCUCUUCAUCAGCUCUUCCCCCCCCCAAAAAAAAAUUCCGCUUCCCUUUUCAGUUUUUAUGUAUUGUCUUUUCUCAUUAGAUCCCUGAGUUCAGGGAUUGUCUUUUCCUUUCUUUCUACCCUCCAGUGGUUUCCACUGUGCCUGACCCAUUAUGGGCAUUUAAUAAAUGUUUAUUAAUUGACAAACCUUAAAAGACCUUGAAUAUUGGUAGAGGUGUUGAAAGACUGGAAACUGUCAAAUGGUCUGCCCCUUUCAAAAAAUAAAGAGAGCAGAAUCUCCAACUUGUAUAACAAUUUAGGAAAAUCCCAGAAAGAAUAAUUCAAAGUAGGGUUUUUGAACAUUCUGAAAGGAAAGUGGUGAUUACAAACAACUAACAUGGCUUUCUCAAGAGCAGGUCAUAGUAGACUAAUAAAUUUCCCUUUUGUGACAGUAUUACUGGACUCCAAGAAAUUAGGAAUUGCUAUAGAUAUAUGUUUAAAUUUCAACAAACCAUUUUGCAAAGUUCUUCAAGCCACCCAAGUGGAAAAGAUAUAGAUUAGAUGACAGUAAACUUAAGUAGAUUCAGAAUGGAUUGAAUGGCAUGAUCCAAAGAGUAACUACUUUGUAACAGUUACCUUUGUAACAAAGAGUAAUUGAAUGGAUCAACAUUAACUUGAAGGGUUGUGACAAGGUCCAUAAAGUAUUUGUCCUUGAUUCUGGAAUAUUUAAAACUUCUAUCAAUGGAUUUGGAUGAAAGGGCAAAGAUAUAAAGAGUGAAUAAGCAUUUAUAUAGUGUCUACUAUGUAUCAGGUACAAUGCUAAGGGUUUUUGUUUUUGUUUUUUACAAAUUUUAUUCCACUUAAUCCUCCUAAUAAACUUGUAAUGUUCUCUGGUUUGAUUUUCUUGGGGGUCUCUGGGAGCAGCCUUCAUUUCAGUUCAGUAAUCACCACAAGAAUAGCCCGGGGUUAAAGUCCAAAUCCUUUAUUAUCUCCUUCUUGAUGCUGGGCAGCUUUCUGGAGAACCUUUCAAUUUGGCCUUGGUCUUAGUGGGGGAAGUGCAGAAGUCCAGGCCAGUCACCAAGAAGAUCAAAGAUCAAAUUGAAUUUCUCCCCUUGGUUCUGAGAGCUUAAGCUCCUGCCUUCCAUCCUAUGUCUUCUCUGCCUCUGCCCUCUGAAAGCUUCUCCUUUGUGGCUCUUAGUCCCUGCUUAUAUGCUCUACACUGAAUAUAAAUCAAUCACUAUCACUAGGAAACCAUUAUUUGUUGUAAGAUUAAAUCAAUCAUACUGAACUUAGAAUACUUAUUAAUCACCAUGCUAAACUAGACAACCAUUGUAUUUAUCAAUUCCACUGAAUUAGCACCUAGUAAGAAUCUUUAUUUCAAGUUCAGAGUUGUGGCCCAUAACAGAAACUGAUGAGUUAGGUACUAUUAUUAUACAAUUGAGGAAACAGAAGCAGAAUAUUAAAUGACUUGCCCAGAGUCACAAAUUCCUACAAAUCAGGAGAUUUCAGGGAAACAGAAACCUUCCAUUCCAAUCUCCCCAAAUAGCAACAACCAAUUAGAUGCCUCCCCUACCCAGCCAGCAAGUAUGUGAGGCUGGAUUUCAAUUCAGUUCUUCUCUAUUCCAAGUCCAGAGGACCAUCACAAGUCGCUAUAAAUAAAUAAACAACAGACAUAUCAAAUUUAAAAAAAUAAAUAUAGCUGGAGGAGAUAGUCAGUGCCCAUUAAAUGGAAAAGACACCAUAGUGAUGGAAAAAAAAAAAAAACUAUGAUUUGAGUGAUAGUUCAAAAACACAAAUCACUUUGCUUCUCUUGAGUCUCAGUUUCCUCAGCUAUAAAAUGGGAAUAAUUAUAAUUCUUCUAUCACAGAAAAUUUAAGCAGAUCAAAUAAGAUAUAUGCUUGGUUACAUUUAAUGAUGCAGUAGAAAUUGACAUUUUUCUUGCUUUAUUCUGAUGAUGAUGGCAAUGUGAGGGAUGAGGAAGACCCUUACCCAAAAUGACUACUUAGAGAUCACUCGGUAGAAGGCAGAAAAGUUGUUUAUUGAAAACCUCCGGAGGAUGAGCCGUCCCAUCGCGAGAUAAGAAAGAGAAAGCUUGUGGUAGGAGAGCUAAAGAAGUAGUAAAGAUACAUAGCUUUUAUACAAGAGAUUACAUUACAAGUAAGAGAGCAUUGAGAAGGGGAGGGGAGGCAUCUAAUUGGUUGAUGCUAUUUGGGGAGAUUGGAAUGGAAGGUUUCUGUUUCCUUGAAAUCUCCUGAUUUGUAGGAAACAGAAAGUCAGGCCUUCAGAUUUAAUCAAGAAGACAGUGAUCCAGCUAAUAGACUAAAUAUCAAUAAAUGUCAAAUACCAAUAAAUGUCAUCAGCUCAGGUUAAGUAAAUAUGUUUCUAGCUGGCCAAGGUUCAAGUAAAUAUGAGCCUGCACAUAUUAUAUAGGUCACAGGGGAAACACAGGAAUAAUGAAAAUAAAAUACAGAAAAAGAAUUCACACAUUCCUGUAAGUUCUUCACCUUAUCUAUCUCUAUUUCAUAUAGCAAUGAUGAGGAGAAUGUUGAUGAAUAGUGAGAAAGUAGGAAUCCAAUAAGAUGCUAGAAGUCUCAAAUAUUGGGUUGAAUCUAAUAAGGUAAAUUUUAAUAAGAAUAAAUGUAAAGUCUUCAGUUCAAAAGAUCACAAUCUUAAGAACAAUAUGAAAGAUACCUGAGUAAGUAAUAUUGAUUUGAAAUUGAAUCUGAAUUCCUUAAAAAGGACUAAAGUCUGUGAAAUUUUAGUAGAAGCAACCUAAAUCUAAACUAUUUUUCCCAGCAGUCUUAAAAGCUAAUCCAAUGUUGGACUAUAAGAAGAGAGAUAUAAUAUUAAGGUCAAAGGAAGUAGGAGUCCUGCUGAUCUCUGUCUCAGUCCAACCACUCCUGGAAUAUUGUGUAUAGUUCUGACUGCCACACUACAAGAAGGAUGUCAGCCUGCUAGAACAUAAACACAGGAGGAGGAUGAAAGGAUUGUCACUUACCCACAUGAAUCAUUUGAAGACCUUAGAGAAGUCUCAAGAAGGACAUGUUAGCCAUCUUUAAAUAUCUAAAGGGCCAUCAUGUGAAGGAGUGCUUAGGUUUUUUUGUUUUGUUUUGUAUUUUUGUUUGACUUCAGAAGAAAGAAGUAGAACUACAUGUGGACAUUUCAAAGAAGUAGGCUCAGACUUGGGAACAAGAAAAACCUAACAAUUAAAGUUUUCCAGCUUUAAUCCUAAAGGGGAAUUGUUUGCUUUGAAAGAUGGCAGGUUUCCUUUCACUAGACAACUUCAAGAAGAAAUUGAAAAAAUAUUUAGCUGGAUUUUCUGUGGUAGGGAUUCUUGGUCAGAUAAGAGUUGAAUGAAAUUACUCUGAGGUUCUUUCCCAUUCUGAGAGUCUAUAAAUCUGUGAAAUCCUUCUUUCAAAAAACAACAAAAGCGAUAGAUUGUACCAAUCACAUCAUUUGUGUUCAAACUAUCAAAUAAUAUACUGUCUGUAUUGGAGAAACAAGCCAUAAGGUGUUACUAGUCAAGAGCACAGACAAGACAGCCAUUGCUUAUGACAAGAGUACAGAUAAGGCAGUGUGCAUAUUAAAGAGCAGCUGACUUGUUAGGGUGCCAGCUGGGCCCAUUCAGAAGGCGCUCCUGCAAAAGGGUGAGUCAACCUGGGUGGGAUUGAACCUUGUGGUUCUGAAAAGGCAGAAUGAUUCAAAGCUAACACCUACUUCUCUAGACAUCAAGUCGAGUUUGCUGUUGUGAUUACAGGUUGUGAUAAGAUCUAAGUCUCACCUCCUAUGUGUUAUAAUUCAGGCAUGAGCAGACUGCUCAGGAGAGGGUGAUUUCCCUGCCAGCGUCUGUAUUUCUAAUGUCAUUGCUCAUUCCCUGAACCUUCAGAAUUUGGCUGGCUGACAAAAGCAUAGUAUCUCUUCCCUCAAAGAAACUUUGGGAUCAUAAAAUGAAUCUGUCAGUAGAUGUUAUCAAAAUAUCCCACUGUGAUACUCUGUGGAAGUUGGUGAUGGGUUAGAAUACUGAUGUCAAUAUUCAUUGGCUGUAAGAUUAUGAUGAAUCAUUUUAUGUCUGUUUUCCCAUGUUUAAAAAUGGGGAUAAUACUUUUACUAACUGACUCCAAACUAACUGCCUUGGUUUGAGGAAAAGCAUUUUAAGCCUUUAAGCUUAAAGCUUAAAGAGAUGUACAUGCGGUUGUUGUUGUUAAGUCAUUUUUUAGGUUAUGUCUUACUCUUUGUGAUCCCAUUUGAGGUUUUCUUGGCAAAAAUAUAGUGGUUUGUCAUUUUCUUCAGCAGUUUAUUUUACAGAUGUGGAAACUGAGGCAAACAGUGACUUGUCCAGGAUUACAGAGCUAGUAUGUGUCUGAGACCAUAUUUAAACUUACAAAAAUAUUUGUUUCUAACUCUGGGUCUGGUAUUCUAUCCACUGUACCACCUAGCUUCCCUGAGAAAUAUGAAUAGUUAAUAUUAUUUUGUUACAAGUAAAUAUAAUAUUGUUGUUAUAGUGUAUUUAGGGUUAGGGUUAGACAUAAAGACUCAUUGAGUCUUGGCAAGCAUGAUGGUGCAUGCUUGUUAUUAUAACGAGGUGGAAGCUGAGGAUGGGGUAUGUCUUAAGUUCUGGAGUUAUGAGUUGCAGGGGACCAAGCCGAUAGAGUAUCUCCACUAAGUUCAAAAUCAUUGUGGUGAGUCUUUGGGAGAGGUGGAUAGGGUAAGGGGCUACCUAAGGAAACACAAAUUAGCCCAGGUUAGGAGUCUCAAGCUGAUCAAGACAAUAAAGGUAUUAGACCCAUAAAUAUCUCUUGACCUGCCUGACGGAGAUAGAAAGCUCCAGUCUUAAAAAACAAAAACAAAAGACUUAAUGAGGACUGGAGGGGUGGGAUGAGACAAGCAGACACAAUCAAAAUUGAGUGAAUUUUUUUCUGAACUAAAUUUACUUGCUAUAAAGAGGACUUUUUUCUUUGAGUGAGAAGAAUUGUAUAAGGGAAGGCAGGAGAAAUUACAGUGAUGCCAAAAUAUAAUAAUAGAAUGUCAAUGAAACAUUUAAAAAGAGAAAUAGGGACAGAAAGAAAGACAGACAGAGAGAGAGAGAGAGAGAGAAAGAGAGAGAGAGAGAGAGACAGAGAAAGAGAGAGAGAGAGAGAGACAGAGAGAGAGAGACAGAGAGACAGAGAAAGACAGAGACAGAGACAGACAGAGCACACAUACAGAGGGGAAAGUGAGUACUAACCUGUUACAUUUAGUGUAGAUUUUUAAAAAACUAUUAAAGAUUCACAUUUCCAUAUUAAUCCUCUGUUCAUCUUUGUAUUGUGGGAAUGUUUGUGUUUGCCAAGUUCACAAUUUUUUUUAAGAUUUAAUGAAAGCAUUUGCCUGGAUAUGAUAUUUGAGGUAAUUAACAUAAUUUUCACUUUUGAAGACAUGCCACAGGCUCACCUCCCAGUUGAGGUAAAGUAUUUGGUUUUAGAAAGGAGGGAGGACUGUGCAUGCAUAACAAUACCUGUGGGAGAAUUGUCCCUUAGCAAAGGAAAAUAAAAAAAGGAUAGUAAAAAGAAAAAUAGUGACAAAAAAAGAAAAAGGAAAAUGAGAAAAGAGGAUUAGAGAGGAAUGAGAUGACUAUUCAAUUCCAAGAAAUAUUUUGAUUGCUUUGAUCAAGUCAAUGAAUUUCUCUUUCCCUCAGUUUCCUUCACUUUAAAAUAUAAACACUGUCCUAUAUCACAGAAUGGUGCAAAACACUGUUAAUUGAAAUUUAAUCCCUUUAGCUUUAAUUCUAGGAAAAUGCAGAUCAUUUUGAAUAUUUAGAGCAUUAGGCCCUUGUAUUAUUCUUUUGCUGGGUUUAGGAAGCUUCCCUCCUCUCCUUCAUGGGAACUGGGUUAGAGAGCAAUCCUUCUGCAAAUGUUGCUUAGAGGAUGAGAAUUUGCAUUUAGGUCACUGUUUUAAGUCUCUUUAGCUCCCAAGACCUCCCAAACUCCUCAGUAACUCUGACAACCACAGCAACUUUUCACUCCAGUCUUAAGUACUUAGAACAGGGCUUUUCCUAAUUUCUUCCUCAAAGAAUUCUGGUCCUCCUGGCUGACUUUGAAAGAUAAAGUUUGGGAGCUGCAAGGACACUCCCUUCUCCACAUUAGGAAGUCCUGUCUGAAAGAUGGGACGAUAGUCCCUCAGCAUCCAGAAAGGGCAAUCUACUGCAGAACAAGGACCUAUAGGAGGAAGAAGACCCUCCUACUACAUCUAUUCUUGUAGCUGAAGCUGCUCAAGAAUUGGUGCACCCAACUCUGCUUUUUGUCUAAAACAAACUUCGCCUCAACCCAAGAAGCAAAGUUUGGCUUUUCUGAAAGUAUUGAAAACAGCCCGUUUUGUCUGUUGGAGUCAAAAUUCAUGAUGGAGUCCUAUCUCUACAAAAAGCCCUAUGUCUUCCGAGGUCAAGCUUCAUUGAUACCCAGAGUCCAUGACCAAACCAAUUGUCUUCCUCUCCCUCCUCCUCCCUCCCUCCAACUCUUGUAAAUCUCCUUUCUCAAACUGUCACAGGCUGGCAGCCAAGGACGGCUUUGAUGAUGUCAUUUGUGGCAUGAGAUCAUGUACUUUCCAGCCAACUCUGGCAGAGCCGAGUUUGAAAGCAUCAAGCAACGGUCCACUAACCUGUUGUACCCUCACAAUGGAGUGCAGGGGCCAACCUUUUUGCAUGAUGAAAGGCUCAAAGAAAUGAAAAGCCUACAAAUGACCUUUAGCCAGCAACCAGCUCCCGUACUGCUGAAAGGAUAGAGAUUUCAAAGUGGCUCUCAAUUGCGGGGGAAUGGGGUCACUACCAUUUCACAUCUUAUUUCCCAAAAUUCAAGAAGUCAGCUGCUUAACAAGUAGAGGGUGGAAGGAGGGACAAGCUGAAAACAGUUUCCAAGACUCAAGUCAGCUUUUUUGAAUCAUGGAAGACCAUCAUUCCCUGAAUGCUGCCAAGAACUCCAGACUUGCUCUCUGGAAGCUUUAACAUUAACCAUUCCCUAGUCUCUCCCUGCAAGAAUACCGAAUUUUAGAGGCAGCUAGAUGGUACAAUGGAUAGAGCACUGGUCCUGGAAGACAGGAGGACUUGAAUUUAAAUUCAGCUUCAAAUUCUUAACACUUACUAGUUGUGUGGUCCUGGGCAAGGAACUUAACUCCAGCUGCAUUGCAAGAGAAGAAAGGAAUUAACAAUACUGAAUUCUUCAAUCAAAAGAUAUGGGUGCAUAUCCUAGUUUCUACAUUAAGUAUAGGACUAUGGGCUAGUCGAGUUCACUGAUCCUCAGUGUCCACAUUAUAAAAUGGGAAUUAUAAGAGUUACAUUGUUUAUCUCAAAAAAUGUUUUUAUGUGCUUUAAUAUAAUAGAAAAAUGUGAAAUUGUUAAUAGUAUUGUUAAUUAUUAUUUUUGAAAGAAUCAGAAUUUCCCAAGAGUAUUAAAAAUAUACUUUUUUAUUAUAUCCAGAAAUCUCAAAUUCAGAUGUUUUAUUUUCUUGAAUGUCCACAUAAGAAUGUGUAAGCAAGGCAGAGGAGCAUUCUUGACUGACUAUAUUUAAGUAAAGACUUAGUGCUAUUUUCUGCAUACUCUAGAGAACAGAGAAGAGCAGCAGAAAUAUAAAAUGAUUCAUCAAGACUAUCUCCACAGAAAUAUGUCUAUUGCUCUCUGUCUAGUACAUUCUUUCCUUCUGUACCUCCUGGGCAGCAUGAUGAACCACUGGGGAGUCUUUUUUCUCUAUUCUACCUAAUCUGUGAUGGAGCAAGUAUUUCUUCUCAUCUUUCCUUUCCUCACUUCUCUUAGCUCCAAACAUUUCUAGUCUGACUCAGUUAUCUAAAAAUAUUACCACUCUUCUUGGGAAUUUUUUUGGAACCAUUGUGGGGCUUUAAUAAUUCUGAUUUCAUCACCCAUCCUGAUUAAAUGGUGCUGGGUCUUAAGAGAGAAAGCAUUAUAGACUUUUGAAAAAUGCUGAUACAAGCCUCUUUUCCUGUUCUGUAAAAAUAAACAGGCAGCAACAUAAUAUUUACAUGUCAUCAGAGUGUGUUUCUCAAUGCUCUUUCUAAAGAGAAUAAAGAGAAAGGAUUUUAUAAGAUUUUGCUUAACAACUCGUGCUUCUUUGAUUUCCUCCAGCCUCUUUCUCCAUUUUAUUGCCUCUUCCUUAUAAUGUAUGAUUCUCACUAGUUUCAUUUCAACUAUGGAAGCCAAUGGACUUUCAGAUUUUUGUUAACUUUGAGUCCCUUAAAAGUGGUAGGGAGUUUUCAAAUUAUAAAUUAAAUAAACAUUCCAAAGUACAAUGGUCUGUCUCAGGAUCUAGUAUAUUCUCCUUUCCUGGAAAUCUUCAAGCUAAAGUCUGGUAUAUUGUGGUAGGGAGUUAUUUUUGUUUAUAUAUUGAAUUAGGUGGUUGAAGAGAUAAUUUCUCCCCCUGAAAUUCUGUAAUUUUUCCUAAGCAGGCAAAACAAAUGGAAUAUUAAGAGAAAAUCCAAUCAGGUGUUUGAAAUGGAAGUUCGGCCCUGUGUUAUCAGGUUGAAAUAUUCACAUAAAACUUUUUGAUAAAAGACAAAUAGUAGAAGCUUGAGUUUGCCAGUCAAGCCUUUAAGAGAACAUGGAUGCUCUCCUACAUGCUAUGUUUUGAUAACAGAAUGUGAACCUAAAAUAAAUGAAGUUUCCUAAGUCAAAUGUAAUUUGUUAAAAAAAAAAAAAAAUCAAUCAUGCAAGUUACAAGACAGUAGAGACAUAGUUAGAAAAAAAUGGUCCCUAUGAAAAAGACCUAGAAGUUCUAACCAACUAUAAUUUUAGUAUGGAUGCUCUUCUGCAUUUAUGUUUUGAUAACAGAAUGUGGAUUAAAAAGAUUUUGUUAAACUGGGAUGAACCUAAAAUAAAUAAAGCUCCCUAAGUCAAAUGUAAUAUAUUAAAAAAAAUCAAUUAAGCAAGUUACAAAACAUUAGAGACAUAGUCAGAAAAAAUGAUCCCUAUGAUAAAAAACCUAGAAGCUCUAACCACUAUAAUUUUAGCAUGAAUCAAUGGUAGGUAGAUGCAAUUAAAAAAUCCAAUGCAAUCUUAGGUCACAAUAAUAGAAGUAAAAUGUCCAGAGAAAGAAAAUAAUGAUCCCGUGGUCCUCUGCCCUAGUCAGGACACAUCUAGAGUCAUAUGUUAAGUUAUGGAGAUCCCAUUUUAGGAAAGACAUUGGCAAUAUAAGCAGAUUGGUGAAGGACUCAAAAGCAUACCAUAUGAAGAUCAUGAAAGGAUCAGUCAAUAUUUAGUUUAAAGAAGAAAAAACUCAUAAGGGACAUAAUAAUCUAAAAUAUCUGAGUAUUGUCAUUUGGAAAGGGGAUUGGACUGGUUUAAUGAGGUAUCUGAUAACUUUCUCUUUCUCUGUCCUCCAGUAUAAAGGAUAAUGCCAGAGGCUUCACUGGAAAAAUAGUUUAAUUCUUUGCUGAGAAUUCUGGGAUUUAGCAUUUAUUGCUCAUCUUCCAAGCUUGAGGCUUGGAGUUAACUAUAAGAAAUUACAUAGCUCCAUGAAAAGCUUAAAUAAGGACAUGCUAGUGGGUAACAGCAACAUCUUCCAGAGUUAGCAGAAGCAUAGAUGGCUGAGCUCUUUUUCCCAGGCAGUGAGAGCAAUAAUAGGAAAAGAAUACAGAAGAGAAACAGAAAGACAGAGACAGACAGACAGAUAGAGACAUAGACUUGGAGAUAGACAGGAUGGCUAGAGAACUACCAGAUUGACUAUGGAUGGCUAGAGAACCACUAGAUUGAUUAAGGACUAGGAGUAGAAUCUCACGGAAGUCAACCUCCUACUUUAUGAUAAGAAAUAUUGACUAUGUUUGCUAGGAGGCACCUGUCCCUCUAUGAGGAAACUCCACAAAGGUUUCUUUUCCAAGUCCCUAUCCCCUUCCAUUUGUUGGUUGGCAGGCAACUGUUAUGAUUCUUUCUUUUGUUAUAUCCUAAUUGUUUUAUUAUGGUGAUCCUGGUUUUUCUUUACCUAACAUAUCUGUGGUUAAAAGUGUGUAUUUCCUUGUGUAUGUUCUAUCCACAGAUAAACGGAAAGCAAAGUUCUGGUUGACCUAACUACACUGAGGAAAUUAGCUAAAAAUAUUUUUUUCUACUUUAGAGCAGCAAGCUCUGGCAUAUGGUUAAAAGAGAGAAAUAUUUUGCAUGAGUCAGUCACUAAUGAGCUAUAGUAAUUAACUUUAUAUUUUAUUAACAUUUUAAUCAAUUAAUUAAUAAUAAAAACAAUUUUGUUCAUAUUUAAUAAUUUUAUAAAGUUUUCAAAAAGCAGAAAGAGAAUUCCACAAAGAUCUGGGGCCAUUGUCUCGGAACAUAAGAAGACCUACUGAUUAUUGGGAUUGAAUAUGGCAGAUAAAAUUUCUAAAUCUGACUCCAUUGAGACAGAGAAAAGAAGACAAUGAACGGUAUUAAGGUCACAAGUCUCUAUCCCUGAGCAGAAGGAAGAGGGAUUAAAAAUAGAGAGGGAAGUCCCAGAUCUGAGGUAGAUCCUAGGGGGUAGAUACGAAGAUGAUAUAAGUAGAUUUUUUUCCUGCCCCUUUCUUGGUUGAGAGAAGGACUGAAUUUGUCCUUGAGCUAGUCCUUUUUUCUUCCCAUGGUGAUAUUUAGAAGAGAGAAAUAGGACUAAAAGAUUUUUGGCUCAAUAUAUGGGGGGUGGGGAGGAGGAAACCUUCUUGAUAGAAUUAUCCAAAAGUUAAACAUGUAGAGUGAAAAAUAGUGAGUUCUCUGUCAUUGGAGUUAUUUAAGAGAGGGUUUGUGAUUACUUGGUGAUUUUGUAGAAAGGAUUAAUAAAAAUAGGUCUAGACAGUCUCUGAAGUCAGCCUAGAUUCCAAGAUUCUAUGCCUGUAAUGUAGGUAUCAAUCAACAGGUAAUAUCUCAUAAUUGAAUGGAUCAACUGAUUUGACUUUCCUCUGGUGUCAACAUCAUAGCUUAGCAUAUAAUUCUCUUUAUUUUCUGUUAAAUAAAUAAAUAAACAUAGCUGUUAAAAUACCAAAAGUAUUUAAGGUAGCAUGGCAGAGAAGAAUAAAUGAAAAGCUGAGGCUUUAGUCCUGUUUUUGGCAGACUAUGAGACUCUUAACUUUUCAGUGCACUAGGUAAUUUUUUAAAACUCACUUGUAGAAUUGUUUUUCUACAAAGGUAGAUGGGACUUCGAGAUCAGACAUCCUUUAUACAGAGGUCCUCAAACUUUUUAAAUAGGGGGCCAGUUCACUGUCCCUCAGACUGUUGGAGGGCCAGACUAUAGUAAAAACAAAAACUUUGUUUUGUAGGCCUUUAAAUAAAGAAACUUCAUAGCCCUGGGUGAGGGGGAUAAUCGUCCUCAGCUGCCACAUCUGGCCCACAGGCUGUAGUUUGAGGACCCCUACGAAAUGUCUUACUACUCACUGCGGAAAAAAAGUAUUUAAUUAUUAAGCAUAAAUAAAAUGUUUUAAGCUUGAACUGAGUUUAUAGAAAUAUCAAUAUCUAAAGCAAUUAUCUUAACUUUUUAAAGCUAAUAUUCAAUUGAUACCAAUUAUUGAUUUAUUCUUCUUUCAAGAAAACCUUUUACUUUACCUCUCUUAUACUGCUUUGGACUUUGAAAAAAAAUCCAAGUCUCAGUCUGUACAUACCUUUCCAGAAGUUUUCUGCUUCAGUUCUCUUCUGCUAUUCUAUUUAACUGCCUUGUCAUAAAUUAUAAUUGCCCUAAGAAAUUAAUUGUCUGUGAUUGUGUUCUACUCAUCUCUGAAAAGUCCUUAAUUUAUCUUCUUUACUAAAUUGAAAACUCUUCUUUAUGCCAUACACCGGAAAUAAGAUUUCUACUUCAUCCUCAAUCAUCUUGCUCCAUGCCCUCAUAGUGGAAAAAAAGAUUAGAUAACUCAAUUAUGACCAUUGAUUACAGCUAUUGAAAAGAGAGUUUGAGGGUUUUUUUUUUAAAGGUAACUUGAUCAGUUUCUCUCAUCUAUUCCAAUUCCUACAGUUAACUGUGACAAACAUCUCUCUCAUUGAAUGGUAAUACUAUAUCCAUUCAUACUAGAACAGGUAAAGGAGAAAAUCAACAACAAGAAUUAUGUGUUCAAAGAGAUUUUUAGAAAAUAUUCUUCAGGGGGCAGAGCCAAAUGAUGGAGAGGACGCAUGCAUCAUUCGAAGCUCCUCUUCUACUCUCACUACUGAUUACCAAAUUCAGCCUCAGAAAUAGUUCUUGACUGGUAAAAUCCACAAAUAUUGGGAGUACAACAAAUUACCAGCUGAAGAUAAUUUGGAAGAUUGACAGAAAAAGUCUGUCCUGAUCCAGUGGGAGGAGGCCAGGACAAGAAGAGAGGCAGAAUACAGAGACUAGCAUACUGAGGGGACCAGGGAUGGGUGUGGUCUCCGUGGGUGGAGAAUUUGCAGGGAGGACUCU